GUAGUGGUGGUUCAAGGGUAGAAUUCUCACCUUCCACAUGAAUGACCUAGGUUCGAUUCCUGGCCAAUGCA
rnacentral:tRNA from 1 species